GUGAGCGCUGGCGGCAGGCCUAACACAUGCAAGUCGAACGGCAGCACAGUAAGAGCUUGCUCUUACGGGUGGCGAGUGGCGGACGGGUGAGGAAUACAUCGGAAUCUACUUUUUCGUGGGGGAUAACGUAGGGAAACUUACGCUAAUACCGCAUACGACCUACGGGUGAAAGCAGGGGAUCUUCGGACCUUGCGCGAUUGAAUGAGCCGAUGUCGGAUUAGCUAGUUGGCGGGGUAAAGGCCCACCAAGGCGACGAUCCGUAGCUGGUCUGAGAGGAUGAUCAGCCACACUGGAACUGAGACACGGUCCAGACUCCUACGGGAGGCAGCAGUGGGGAAUAUUGGACAAUGGGCGCAAGCCUGAUCCAGCCAUACCGCGUGGGUGAAGAAGGCCUUCGGGUUGUAAAGCCCUUUUGUUGGGAAAGAAAAGCAGCAGGUUAAUACCCCGCUGUUCUGACGGUACCCAAAGAAUAAGCACCGGCUAACUUCGUG
rnacentral:rRNA from 1 species